CCUACGGGAGGCAGCAGUGAGGAAUAUUGGUCAAUGGGCGGGAGCCUGAACCAGCCAAGUAGCGUGCAGGAUGACGGCCCUACGGGUUGUAAACUGCUUUUAUACAGGAAUAACGCGCCUUACGUGUGGGUCUUUGCAUGUACCGUAUGAAUAAGGACCGGCUAAUUCCGUGCCAGCAGCCGCGGUAAUACGGAAGGUCCGUGCGUUAUCCGGAUUUAUUGGGUUUAAAGGGAGCGUAGACCGAUUGUCAAGCGUGUUGUGAAAUUUCCGGGCUCAACCCGGGCAUUGCAAAGUGUACUGGCGGGCUUGAGUACGCGGAAGGUAGGCGGAAUUCGUUGUGUAGCGGUGAAAUGCUUAGAUAUGACGAAGAACUCCGAUUGCGAAGGCAGUUUGCUGCACUGGAACUGACGUUGAUGCUCGAAAGUGUGGGUAUCGAACAGGAUUAGAUACCCCAGUAGUC
rnacentral:rRNA from 1 species